rnacentral:rRNA from 1 species
GCAAUCGCCCUUCGGGGUGCAGCAGGCGCGAAAACUUUACAAUGCCGGCAACGGCGAUUAGGGGACCUCGAGUGCCAGGUUACAAAUCUGGCUGUCGAGAUGCCUAAAAAGCAUUUCAUAGCAAGGGCCGGGCAAGACCGGUGCCAGCCGCCGCGGUAACACCGGCGGCUCGAGUGGUAACCGUUAUUAUUGGGUCUAAAGGGUCUGUAGCCGGCCGGAUAAGUCUCUUGGGAAAUCCAGCAGCUCAACUGUUGGGCUUUCAGGAGAUACUGUCUGGCUCGAGGCCGGGAGAGGUGAGAGGUACUUCAGGGGUAGGGGUGAAAUCUUGUAAUCCUUGAAGGACCACCAGUGGCGAAGGCGUCUCACCAGAACGGACCUGACGGCAAGGGACGAAAGCUAGGGGCACGAACCGGAUUAGAUACCCGGGUAGUCCUAGCCGUAAACGAUACUCGCUAGGUGUCGGCCACGGUGCGACCGUUGUCGGUGCCGUAGGGAAGCCGUGAAGCGAGCCACCUGGGAAGUACGGCCGCAAGGCUGAAACUUAAAGGAAUUGGCGGGGGAGCAC